AUUGAACGCUGGCGGCAGGCUUAACACAUGCAAGUCGAGCGGAGAGAGGUAGCUUGCUACUGAUCUUAGCGGCGGACGGGUGAGUAAUGCUUAGGAAUCUGCCUAUUAGUGGGGGACAACAUUUCGAAAGGAAUGCUAAUACCGCAUACGUCCUACGGGAGAAAGCAGGGGAUCUUCGGACCUUGCGCUAAUAGAUGAGCCUAAGUCGGAUUAGCUAGUUGGUGGGGUAAAGGCCUACCAAGGCGACGAUCUGUAGCGGGCCUGAGAGGAUGAUCCGCCACACUGGGACUGAGACACGGCCCAGACUCCUACGGGAGGCAGGAGUGGGGAAUAUUGGACAAUGGGCGGAAGCCUGAUCCAGCCAUGCCGCGUGUGUGAAGAAGGCCUUAUGGUUGUAUAGCACUUUAAGCGAGGAGGAGGCUACUUUAGUUAAUACCUAGAGAUAGUGGACGUUACUCGCAGAAUAAGCACCGGCUAACUCUGUGCCAGCCGCCGCCGUAAUAC
rnacentral:rRNA from 1 species